GAUGAAGAACGCAGCUAAAUGCGAUACGUAAUGUGAAUUGCAAAUUCAGUGAAUCAUCGAGUCUUUGAACGCACAUUGCGCCCCCUGGUAUUCCGGGGGGCAUGCCUGUCCGAGCGUCAUUGCUGCCCUCAAGCACGGCUUGUGUGUUGGGCCCCGUCCUCCGAUCCCGGGGGACGGGCCCGAAAGGCAGCGGCGGCACCGCGUCCGGUCCUCGAGCGUAUGGGGCUUUGUCACCCGCUCUGUAGGCCCGGCCGGCGCUUGCCGAUCAACCCAAAUUUUUAUCCAGGUUGACCUCGGAUCAGGUAGGGAUACCCGCUGAACUUAAGCAUAUCAAUAAGCGGAGGA
rnacentral:misc_RNA from 1 species